CGGACGGGUGAGUAACGCGUGGAAAACCUGCCGUAUACUGGGGGAUAACACUUAGAAAUAGGUGCUAAUACCGCAUAAGCGCACAGCUUCGCAUGAAGCGGUGUGAAAAACUCUGGUGGUAUACGAUGGUUCCGCGUCUGAUUAGCUAGUUGGUGGGGUAAUGGCCCACCAAGGCAACGAUCAGUAGCCGGCCUGAGAGGGUGAACGGCCACAUUGGGACUGAGACACGGCCCAAACUCCUACGGAAGGCAGCAG
rnacentral:rRNA from 1 species